GGAGAGCUGACCGAGUGGCCGAAGGUGCACGACUGGAAAUCGUGUGUAGCGACACAAAUCGCUACCGAGGGUUCGAAUCCCUCGCUCUCCG
rnacentral:tRNA from 1 species